ensembl:lncRNA
CAAUGGGCGCCACAAUUGACACACAGGUAAAUACAUGCACAACAUAUAAAAAACAAUGGUGGUGGGGUUCCGGCCAGUUAUCCAUGAGGAGAGUCCAGGCAUCCAGUCCAGCACCCGCAACACGCUAGAACUGACAGAAUAGUGUCUUCCAGGCCCAAGGCAUUAUUAGGUCCCACCCCCUGCUCUCACUUUCCCCAUAUAAGGGCUGCCAAAGGUUUGGGGAGGAGCUGUCGCUGUUAUUGAGGAAGAGAGGCAGCUGAAGUUGACAGUCGAGUGUGACAGUAGAAACACUCACAGUCUUGCUUUCUACGCUCCUGUAACUUUAAGGCAAGGGUUUGACCCGUGCUGAAGACCCACUAGAAGGUUUGGAAUGGUGUGACUUAUCAUCAAUGGUGAGUUUGUUUGUUUAUUUAUUUGUAUGGUAUGUCUGUUAUAGUUUAAUCCUGUGAAUUAUUACUCUGAUACAUUGCCAGUUAAACUCUGAAGAUGGGUGUGCUCUGACUGAUUCUAUCGCACUUAAGUACAGCUCAAGUCAUGGAAAAGAUUAAAUUAUAUUGCGUAACAUUAAUGAAUUGUCCCCACUAUCUUGAUAGCCUUGUGGCAGUAAUACAUGUGAAUGAUUAGCCCAUGUCAUUUCAUGUUUAAGAAGUAGAAACCUUGGAAGUACAAUGAAAUGCUUCAUUGCCUUUACCAAUUCACAGUUACCAGUUGAAGCACAACUUUUUAAUAAUAUAAAACCAACAAUCAGUUUACCAACCAAAGAAUAACAAAGUGUACUCAAGGAUGACUCAGCAUUUUUGGGAACCCACUUAAGUCAAAGGUCCUUUAUGACUGGCCUUGAGGGCAUUCCCGAAGGCCAGCAGUGUGCUUCUUUUGUAUUGCUCUGUAUUGAGCUUUAAUUUUUGUAUUUAAAGUUGAAAUCCCAAAGAUUUCCAUCUAUGGCUGAAUGAGGUAACUCAUGGAGAAUGAGCCUGAGCCCUUGGAUUUGCAGUAUUAUAAUGUUACUAACUGGGUGUUGUCGACUGUGGCACUGUUAGUGUUUCUCGGAACAAUGACCGCUUAUAGUCAAAAGUGUUACCAAAGAGAAAGACACGGAAAUCUUUUAGAAAAUAGUUGAAUCCCUUUAACAAUAUUGGAGGAGAAAUAUCUUCCCAAAUGAAUAAGUCCCAACCCCUAUUUAGUGGCAUUGGGAAAGUAUUUUGGUGUGUCUUUCAAAAUGUAGUGUGUAGCAAGGCAGAAGAACAUUGAUCUGUUACAUAAAAUCCUACUGCUACUACUACUACUGUUAUUGUAGAUUAUGUAUACUUGUGGAAUGUUUGCUGUUUUCCUGCUGUUCGGACACCCGUCAAAUGGUAACAACAGUGUAUCAAUAAAGCAGCACCUCCAAAGUGUCUUCCUUGCUCUUCCCCCCAGCCUGCAGGUACGCCCUGAAGAAGAUCCGGGCUGCCGUCCGCAGUGAGGAGCAGCCAAAGGCCUCCAGCAGUGCAGAACGUAGCAAGGUCAAAGGUGAGCCUGGAGCCGCGCAGAACUAAUGCCCCCGCAAACACGAACAUCGGCCAGAAGUGAUUCUGUUGUGUUGGCGUGGAGCUCUGGUCAAGGCAGCCAUCAGUGAACCAGGUGUACUUGUAUCACACAUGGACAUGGAGAGUCUUCAGUGGUGCCUCGCGGGUUUGUGGCGUUUGAGUGUGAACGAACACCGGUGUGUGUGUGAGCUCAACUGUGUGCCGGCGUCAACAGUUGUGUGGUUCCUGAACGGCCAGAAACCGGACAACUUAGACGAAUUACAACAGAUGUAUUAGCUUGUUGUAUUAGAUGUAUUACACUGAACACAGUUCUAGUAUUCUUCUAGUUCGGCUCAAUAAUAACAAAUAAUGAAACUCCAUCACAGAUCCAUAUAAACUGAUCACGUGUGCCAAAGAUCACGCUGGUAAUCGGCAGUGCAACAAUAGUUACCCUAUGACAACAACCACCCACAGGACCGUGUAGGGCACCUCAUAGGCCACCCUAGCUUCUCCUUUGUCAUUGGAAAGGGAGGGAUGUGGAGAGGUGGCUUGGAGGGGAUUCAGUUGGUUGCAAUCUGCAACCUCACCACGAGAUGCAACUAAAUCAUACACCCUGCACCUUUUCAAAUAAAAACGUAAAGGGCUUGCUACUGCCGAUCCAAACGGGCAUCAAACAGAAAGUAUUAUGCAGGCAAGAAAUCGACUGAACAGUUACUUGUUCGGCUACAAUGUUUACUGGCGCUGAACAACAGGUAGGCUUGAAAGGUUCAAAAGAAAGCUGCAUAAGUUGCUUUGCAUACAUUCACAAUGCACACAAUGUGAUAAGGGUUUAGAGCCAUGCCAUACAGGCACACCCACUUAAAUCGGGGACUUUUAAAGGUGUGUGUCUGUGUCUGUGUGUGAUUAUGUGGGUGAGUCAUUGGGAGUUUGUGUGCUUUGGUUGGGUGUGUUGGUUUUGUUUUCGGGAGUGGGUGUUUUGACUGUGUGUGUGUGUUUCAUUGAGAGAUGGGCUUCUCUACCUGUCCCUUUAAGUCUUUAAAUAUGACAUAACGAUGAGGUUUCAACCGCAUGCAAUAUGCUCACUAAAUUUGGUCUCAGAUUCCACUAGCCACAUUUAAUUCUUUAUUUGAAUCCACCAAUCACAUUACAAGAGACAAGAUUCAAAUAUUUCAGAGAUAAGAUAAGUCAUUGUUCAAGGGUACAAAAAACAUCUCCUGCGCCACACUGCCAGGCUGCCUAUCACUGCUGAUAUGGAGCAGAACUUUGCUAACUGUUUAGAUUUUCUGCUGGAGAGCCCAGCCAGCCUUAACCCACUGAAAACACGGUUGUGGACAUGCCCCAAGCUUCCAAAAAUAAACACUAUUAGCUUGCAUUGGUAGCCUAGGUCCCUUAGAAUUUCCAGAAUGGGCUGGUAUUUAAGGAUUUUAUCGUUGAAAGACAUUUCCAUGUACAAAUCAAAUACACAGCCUAUCUCAAGUAAGAGCACUUCCCUUCUGUCUCUGUUUAAAAACACAACAUCAGGGGUAUUUGGGAUGUUACAAAACACAUCAAUAGAGCUGUUAAUGUUUGUACAUGGUCACAUUUUCUAGAGAUACUUCCUUAACAUUACUGGAAAUUAGAUCGACAAGUCGGUCAUGGCGUGCAAUAUACAGUCCUUUGUACAUAGUACAGCCAUUCACAACAUGGGCAACUGAUUCAAGUUGAUGGCCAGAGUGCAUUAUACAGUGUGGAUGGUGGUGUGCAGGAUACCAUAAUGCCAGAUUGUAUUUGGUAGGUAGCACCUGCAGCCUAGCUUUGGCAGUGAAACAGAUGAUGUCCUCUCCAACAGCAGCAUUUUUGUACAUGGAGUGGGAAGCAGAGUGGUGGGCAAAGUCUAGGCAUGCUAGCUUUCCCUGCAUUCUAAGUCCAGUCCAGUGUUGUUUGGUCUCUGUUUGUUUUAUGUUGAGAAGGAACCUCCUUGCUGUUGUGUUCUGUAGUAUGUGUUGUGCCUCGUUGUGAUAUACAGUUGCCUCUGCGGUUACAGAUGGGUCGGUUUCAGCUGCAUCAGAUGCCUGUGGUGCUGUGUGUGAGUUGUGUUGUGUCCAUUCCAGUUUGACUGACAUUCUGUUGCACAGAUCAUUUAGGUCCGGCCAGUCCGACCGAACUCCAAAGCCUGCAGCUUGUGUGUCCAGUUUCCCGCUGCUUUUCCUCCCAAAGCCUAAGAAGCUGUCCUGGCCUGCUUUGGCCAGAGGGACCUUCCUCUUCCUGAGGUCCAGCAUGAGGGAAGCUCUGGCAAGCUCUCUGACAGUAGCGUCAUCAUUGUUGAGCAUGCUGAGGAGGUGUGUCAGCCUGGUAGCAGUGUAUACCCAUUCCACGUUUGGGACACCCAGCCCCCCCUCUUUACGUGAGAGGAAGAUGAGGUCCCGAGUGUGAGUUCAGCCCUAGCCAUUUUCGGACAGCCUGGACUGUUUUAUUGUUCAUGUCUUGUAAGACUUUUUGCAGGAUGUGAACGUUUGCAAAGAGGUGUUGAACCUUUGCAAGGGCCACCUCUCUGAUAGCGUCCAGUUUCAUGACUACAGGGAGUGGGGAGGAAUCAAUUAGAUCAAUUCUGUUCUUAUAGGCACUACAUAGCUCCUGUGCCUGCUCCCCCGACUCACCCGCAAUGUUGAUGUUAUGGCCAAGAUAGGUGUAUGACUCUUGGCGUGAGUAGACCCUGAUAGGCUGCCCCAUUAUUGUGAAGGAGGGCGGUUCAGAUUCCACUAGCAACACACACACACACACACACACACACACACACACACACACACACACACACACACACACACACACACACACACACACACACACACACACACACACACACACACACACACACACACACACACACACACACACACACACACACACACACACACACACACACAUCUUUUGUAUUUCAUCAAAAGCUAAUAUCUCCCCUCAACAUGAAUCCUCUUUCUUAUCUCUAACUUCAACCAUCCCGAAGCACACCUCCUUCAUGUGCGUCCUCCAGUCUGUCUUCAUGUCUGUUCUGUCCCUCUGGCUCUAGGGAGGAAGGGGGGCGAUGAGGACGGCGGAGAUGGGCGUGGCUUCAUGUCGGUCCCAUCCUUAGAGGUGGCGGAGCAGGACGAGAUGACGCAGUGCGGCUCCUGAGGUUAAAGGUUGGGGAGGCCAAUCCAUGAGAAGACACACACACACACACACACAGAUACAUACACCCACACGGACACACUGACACGCGCACGCACACACAAACACAUACACCGACACACACAACGACACACACACACACUUAAACAACGGCCUAUUUCUACCACUUUCACCUACACUAGAAACUCUUCACAGAAGGAUGAGAAUUAACAAAAUGCACGCUGACGACACCACCACCCAUCCACCUCUACCUGAUCAGCCUUUGUCCCUCUGGGAUCAGCGGGAUUCACUUCCUGAACAGUUCCCCCACAAUACUCGCUCUCUUCCUCUUGAGGCUCUCACACACACACAUACUGGGAUUUCAUUAGGGUUUCAAACUGAGGCUGUUAACACAAAAGCCUCUUUGUUCGUCAGACAUUUGAGAUAUAUAUUAAGGUCUGCACACACAGACACACACACACACACACACACACACACACACACACACACACACACACACACACACACACACAAACCCAAUCAAAGGAACACACUGAUACAAACAUUAAGUCUUCCACUUUAAGUCAUCGGCCUCUUCGGAGACGGACUGCUCUCCCCCACCGCCACCAGCUCCUCCCCCACCACCAGAAGCUCCUCCCCCAACACCCAGAGCUCCUCCUCCAUCGGAAGCUCCGCCCCCCCCCACCAUCCACCUCAAGCCGCCAGUGACAGAAUUCAUGAAAGCCCGAUCGCAAAGUCCGCACUGCGGGGCCCGGUCGGGCUGGAUGGCCUGAAGGCGUCUGCCGCUGGCUCAGAGCCGCAGUCUGGAGGUUCACCUCGUCUGCUUCAGUCUUACUGUGUUGUCUCAUUGUAUCCACGAGGAGGACAAUGUUCCCCAAGUGGUGUACAAAUCUGGAAGAUGAUCAUUAAUGAAUGGAUAUUCAGACAUCUAUACGUAUUAAAUGAAAUUAAUGAAUUAAUGGGAAAAACUUUGAUUCAUGUUUUUCUGUCAUUAUUUACGAACAUAUACACUUCUGUACUUGAUGCAUCAAUUUGAAAGAUUCAAUGAUAAACAAUGAACAUUGUCGUUUUUAUAUUUUCUGUAUUAUUAAGACAUCUGAGAAAUGAUCUCAUGUGAGCCUAAGCUCCUUGAACAAGCCAAUUAUGGUACUGUCACGAUCCUACUGUUGGGUAAGGUUAAGCUGGUUGGUAACUGGUGGUCAUGGUAACGGUGGGAGUGGCUCCCUUAAUUAGUUGAUUGGGGUCACCUGGGGGAUCCAAGAUGGUGGAUAUAUACAGCAUGGUGGCCAGUGGUUACAGGCCCCGGCAGGAUAAGACUUUGUAAAGCCAUUCACCCAGAAGCCAGCACACACCAGAGCUAAGGAGUCCAACGGGGGAACGUGACCGCCCCUUCACCAUCUUUGUUUGUCAAGUGUUUGUCUAAACAUGUAAACCAUAACUGAACGAGACAGCUACCGUUCACCACAACGCUUGGGCUAUCUCCAUAGCAAGAGAGAGAAGGACCAGCGCUCACCAGGAACCCAGGACACACCAGAACUAAGGAUUACAACGGGGGAACGUGACCGCCCCUUCACCAUCUUUGUUUGCCAAGUGUUUGUCUAAACAUGUAAACCAUAACUGAACGAGACAGCUACCGUUCACCUCAACGCUUGGGCUAUCCCCAUAACAAGAGAGAGAAGGACCAGCGCUCACCAGGAACCCAGAAUAUUUUCCAGCUCCCAAAAAGUCGAAGGCAUUUGAGGACCUCUUUGGCGAUAUGUUCGGCACUGGUGAUCCAAGGCAAAAGACCUCCAGAGACCUAGUCCAAGCAGAAGUUGCCAAGUGUAAAGAUACUGACCCUUUCCCCUGGAAGGUAAUGUGAUGGAGUGGUGGAAAACACAUCAGACUGAGUUUCCCCUCCUGGCAAACCAUGCCAAAACCUACCUGUGCAUUCCUGGUACUAGUGUACAUUCAGAACGUGUUUUCAGCACUGCUGGAGACAUUGUCCGCUCUGAACACAGUGUUUUGUCUGCAGAGCAAGUAGACCAGUUAUUGUUUUUUAAAGAAAAACCUCCAAAAGGACACUGGAGGACAUAUUUGAUCAUUAAACUAUUGAUUGUUAUAGUGAAAUGGUUACUAAUACAUUUGUUCUGAAAGAAAUACAUUUGUUCUGAAAGCUAUUACAGGCUCUUGAGUUAAGCUUGGUUUUUUUUGAAGAAAAACCUCCCAAAGGACACUGGAGGACAUAUUUGAUUAUUAUAUUAUUGAUUGUUAUGGUGAAAUGGUUACUUAUACAUUUGUUCUGAAAGAAAUACAUUUGCUCUGAAAGCUAUUACCUUAAGUUAAGGUCUUAAAUGAAUGGCUUUUGUUUAACAUCUGGAAGAGCAAAGCAAUAAAAUGUUUAAAUUAUAAUUAUGUUUUUUUUGUGAGUUGAAGUGAAUGAAACAGGUUGUGUUAAAUGGGCAAAUGAUAUCGUCUCAUAUCGAUAGCAGGCCACUUAAUGUAAUCGAAAUGGUAUCGCGGCAGACUUUUGAUAGCGGCAAUUAUCUUAUCGUUGUCGAUUUAAUAUCGUAUCGUGAUGAAACCAGAGAUUUACACCCCUAACUCUCGCGGGAGUCUCGGGCAAGGGCGUCAGUUUGUAUUUAGAAGUGGUGGGGACCAGAGGCGGAGUGGCCGUCGGGACGAUCGGGAGAUUUCCCGGUCGGCCGGCCGGCCAGCGAGGUCAGGUGGACCGGCC